CAGUAGCCACGGGAAUACGUAGGGUGCGAGCGUUAAUCGGAAUUACUGGGCGUAAAGCGUGCGCAGGCGGUUCGUUAAGACAGAUGUGAAAUCCCCGGGCUUAACCUGGGAACUGCAUUUGUGACUGGCGAGCUAGAGUAUGGCAGAGGGGGGUGGAAUUCCGCGUGUAGCAGUGAAAUGCGUAGAGAUCGGAAGGAACAUCUGUGGCGAAGGCGACUAUCUGGGCCAACACUGACACUGAGGCACGAAAGCGUGGGGAGCAGACAGGAUUAGAUACCCGUGUAGUCCCUGUCUCUUAUAA
rnacentral:rRNA from 1 species